rnacentral:rRNA from 1 species
UACGUAGGUGGCAAGCGUUGUCCGGAUUUACUGGGCGUAAAGAGCGCGCAGGCGGUCGUUCAAGUCGCGUGUGAAAGCCCCCGGCUCAACUGGGGAGGGUCACGCGAUACUGAUCGACUGGAAGGCAGGAGAGGGUAGUGGAAUUCCCGGUGUAGUGGUGAAAUGCGUAGAUAUCGGGAGGAACACCAGUGGCGAAGGCGACUGACUGGACAUGUAUUGACGCUGAGGUGCGAAAGCGUGGGGAUCAAACAGGG